rnacentral:tRNA from 1 species
GGGGUUGUAGCUCAGUUGGUAGAGCGUUUCGUUCGCAACGAAAAGGUCGCGGGUCCGACUCCCGUCAACUCCACGA